GUCCUGUUGAUGAAGUUAGGUGCUGUUCUGAGCAUUAUUUGUGGCUAUAGAGUGGCGUUUUGGUUGAGGGCGUGGCUCUCUGUAUUGCUAUCCUGCGGUCGUUACUAAAGUUGGUAUAACUAGAGAAGCAAGCGGUCGGCAACAUUCAUCUCUGGAGGGGGGGUCUAACUCGGUGUUACGAUGUGUUUGACCCUUAAUUAAUUUUGCA